CCUACGGGAGGCAGCAGUGGGGAAUAUUGGACAAUGGGGGCAACCCUGAUCCAGCCAUGCCGCGUGUGUGAAGAAGGCCCUCGGGUUGUAAAGCACUUUCAGUGAGGAAGAACGCCUGGUGGUUAAUACCCAUCAGGAAAGACAUCACUCACAGAAGAAGCACCGGCUAACUCCGUGCCAGCAGCCGCGGUAAUACGGAGGGUGCGAGCGUUAAUCGGAAUUACUGGGCGUAAAGCGCGCGUAGGUGGCUUGAUAAGCCGGUUGUGAAAGCCCCGGGCUCAACCUGGGAACGGCAUCCGGAACUGUCAAGCUAGAGUGCAGGGGAGGAAGGUAGAAUUCCCGGUGUAGCGGUGAAAUGCGUAGAGAUCGGGAGGAAUACCAGUGGCGAAGGCGGCCUUCUGGACUGACACUGACACUGAGGUGCGAAAGCGUGGGUAGCAAACAGGAUUAGAUACCCUGGUAGUC
rnacentral:rRNA from 1 species